rnacentral:hammerhead_ribozyme from 1 species
ACACUGCUGACGAGUCCCGAACAGGACGAAACAGCUGUCCUGUAC